GAAAAAUGGGAGAGAGAAACUGGGACAUUUUAAAAGCAGCUGAAAAAAUGGCAUGAUGGAGGACUGAUUGGAACUAUUCCAGGCAAAUUGGGACAAUUGGAAAGUAUAUCAACUUCCUUCCUCUUCUGUUUACCAAAGUGGACUGGCAAGCUGAAUGUUUGUUCAGCACUGGGAAUGGCAUAGAGUCAUUCAGGACACUGGUGGCAACAUGCUGGCUUGGGGAGGGAGGCCAUGUGGUGUACACAGCUGUGCCUUCCAGAGGAGGUGAAUGGCCAGAGGCUCAGGAGGACCAGCCAGGAGAGGUCUACUGGUGCUCCUUGCAUCUGUCAUCUAUUAACUGCCUCACUCUGUCUAAAGGCAAGAACAACCUGCAGCCAGUGUUUAUACAAAGUCUCCCAAUGGAAGAGAUAAUGCACCACUGAUUUCACACAAAACCAGAUUGGUCUCUCUAAUUCUGUCUCCUUUCUGUGGUGACUCAUAUUGCCUGCCUUCCAUUGAACAUACUGUCUCUGGGUGCUUCUAUAAAACCCUACAUGAUGUCUUAAUUCUUUGCACGCUGGGGAUGACAUUUCUGGACACUGCAGCAUCUGAAGUUGGGACUCCCGCUUUUUGCUGUACUUGCUUGGGGGAACAUCUUGCCUGGUCUAUCCUCAGUGUGUUCUUCCGAACUUCCCCGGCACCAACUUGUACAAAAGCCCGGGAGACAAGCA